rnacentral:lncRNA from 1 species
GUUGGUCGCGACACAGAGAAAGAAGGAAAGGGGUAUUUUGAGGAUAGAAGGCCUGCUUCGAAUAUGGAUCCAUAUGUUGUUACUUCCAUGAUUGCAGAAACCACCAUCCUGUGGAAGCCAUGAGAACCUCAACAAGCCCCUCUUAGACAGAAUAGUGUCGGUGGUAUUCUUUGCAAGGGACCAUGGAAAGAUUUGUGUCAGUGGGAUGGUUGUCUGUCAAUUUGUUUGCCUUUGUAUUUGAGGCAGCAAGUGAGUUCAUUGCUUUGCUUGCUUGCCUUGUGAUUUAUAGGGCCUAGAAAGGGGUUAUAUAGGUUUUUGCUUUGAUGUAAUGCCGAUCACAUCUCGAGAUGUUAUCAGAUUUUAUCUAAUCUAAAUAAAACUCUUGCUGGUUGAU